rnacentral:rRNA from 1 species
GAUGAACGCUGGCGGCGUGCCUAAUACAUGCAAGUCGAGCGAACAGACGAGGAGCUUGCUCCUCUGACGUUAGCGGCGGACGGGUGAGUAACACGUGUAUAACCUACCUAUAAGACUGGGAUAACUUCGGGAAACCGGAGCUAAUACCGGAUAAUAUAUUGAACCGCAUGGUUCAAUAGUGAAAGACGGUUUUGCUGUCACUUAUAGAUGGAUCCGCGCCGCAUUAGCUAGUUGGUAAGGUAACGGCUUACCAAGGCAACGAUGCGUAGCCGACCUGAGAGGGUGAUCGGCCACACUGGAACUGAGACACGGUCCAGACUCCUACGGGAGGCAGCAGUAGGGAAUCUUCCGCAAUGGGCGAAAGCCUGACGGAGCAACGCCGCGUGAGUGAUGAAGGUCUUCGGAUCGUAAAACUCUGUUAUUAGGGAAGAACAAAUGUGUAAGUAACUAUGCCCGUCUUGACGGUACCUAAUCAGAAAGCCACGGCUAACUACGUG